CAGACCACAACGCCGCCCCCAAAUCACGCCACACCCUAUCCACCCGCUCCCUCCACCAGACCGCCGCCGCCCCCAAAUCACGCCCAAUCCACCCGUGCCCUCCACCAGACCACCGCCGCCGCCCCAAACCUUCCCACCGCCGGCGCCCGCGGCCACUUUAGACCACUGCUGGUGUAGCCCCCAACCACUGCAGCUCCUCCGCCGCCCACAAGUCAACACCCCAUCCACCCUCCACCGGACAGCAAGCCGCGGCGGCCCCCAACCAUCCCGCCGUCGACCCGCAACCAUCCCACCGCCGACGGCCGCCCUCCAACCAAAUCACCGACGCCGUCGCCCCCCAUCACGGUAGCCCCUCCACCAUCCUCUGCCGCCCCAACAACCACUCCACUACACCCGGCCACCACCAUCGUCGCCCCACUCCAGAGCAGCGCCGUCGAGCACCCGUUUGACAGGGAGCACCACCGUCGUCGCCGAGCCACUCCACCGGCAGCCACCAUCCUCCGGGAACGCCUUCCUCGCCACUAACCUACUCGCGCGCUUCCUUCUCGAGCAGGCCUCCCCGCAAGCGUCACCGAGCACCAAGCCGCGGGCCUGCCCCCUCCACACGCCCCUGAAGCAGCAAACCCUCGGCCCUCCUCUCCAGCGAGCAGCUCUGCAUCCUCAACAUCUUUUCCCUGGACAUACCUGCCUCCUGUAAUUCAAGUGACAGCCUGAUAGGUGACAUUUUGUUGCAAUUUCUGUGCUUUUUUUGUUCUGAAUGUGCAGCUACGCAAUGUGUAGAAGUGGUACAGGCCUGUAGUUAGAACAAAUCAUCAAUUUUUAAAUGCUUUGAUCUAAUAACAGCGAAAAAACCAUGAGCCAGUCACGUUUGAAGGUUCUUUGCUUGUCUAAAAACGAAAUUAGAUUCUUUGUUUGAUCUAAUUGCUUUGAAGACUAUUACUGUUAGUAGCCCUUCAGAUCAAAGGACUGGGACCAUUAUAUUGGUGAUUAACAAAUGCAUACCUUAAUUAGAUUCGUUGACACCAGACUAAGUUGUUUAGUUGAGGUUUGGAGUUCAUUUUAAUUUGAGAUGAAAGAAAGCUAAUCAUUUUAAGUUUUUGUUCGUUUAUUUGACGCUCCAAAGUAGUACCAUCUUUGUUUGUGUUUUGAGAAAUAUGAUAUGUGGACAGAACAGGUGCUUCAUAGAUCCAGACAACAUUCAGAUUCUUGGAGAUGUCCAUGUCCCCACACAUUCUAUUUCCAAUACAUAGAACUUUAGAACCCAAGCAUAAGCUUUCUGGAUGUCUCAGGUAUGGAAUUAGUCACUACUGCAAGCCUUGUCUACACUUCACAAGUUAUAUGGAUCAAGUUAAUUUUUAGCAGAACAACAUGUGAAAUAUUACUUUUGGAUGUGUUGAAUCAACUUAAAUGCACCAUGUUUCCUUCUUGACCAAAAGGUGCUCGAGUUCUUUGCCUAAUGUGGGUACUGAUUUUUUCUGAAUCUUGGUCUAGCAUAUUAAAGGAGCCUUGACUGUUGACAAUUCCACAACUUUAUUGUAUCUUUUCUCAUGAUAUAUGAAAGUAUUUUCCAGUCUGCUGCCAGAUUGUUCAGACAACGUGUCACAGCCUUUUCUGCAGAUAAUAUGCUAGCAUGUCUUCUGAUUAGUUUAACACAUGGAUUGCCAAAGCUUUUCAUCUGCUAUGUUGCCUGAUAGUUCCAGCCUAUUGGGUUUUCAUGUGCUUGCUUGUGAGAUGAAUGCAUGGUAUAACAUCAAAAGUUGUAUGAUUCUACUAUUUCUCCCUUAUAAAUCAAUAGGUUAGUACAAAAUCUAGGAGUGAGUUCCUAUUAGCCUACCAUUAUUCUUCUGUUUCAUAAAUGUUCCAUUGAUUUCUUGCUUAUAUCCUAAAGGCAGAUUUGUUUAAAUUUAGUUUGCAAAAAACCAUUAUCCAAUCCAUGCUAUGUCUUUUUACUACUGGCCUUGUUCUUCCUAAUAGAUGAAUGCAUGGAAGGACUGUACAGAUGCUUGUUCUUGAGACAUGGCAUUCUGGACUAGGAGAGUCAAGUAGAAGGCCUGUAUAGUGUAAUAGUUACUCCCUCCGUCCCAUAAUGUAAGACGCUUUUGCAAGCUUUGUUAGUUUGCAAAAACGUCUUAUAUUGUGGGACGGAGGGAGUAGAAAAUACUGAAACUGUCCCAAAAGGGAAGGAUGGUUACCCUCCUUGUUUUGAAGAGGUAAAACAAGUUACAUGCAUUAAUUUGUUGGUACCAUCACCCUGAUUUGACGACGAGGUGGUCUUUAGCUUGAACAAUAAUUUCCCUAAUCUGUUUAUGGUUCAAACCGCCAAAAUAAGAUAUUUUUCCUUACGAAGUGCUUAAUGGCUUUAUUGUAUUUUCUUUUGUCAUGAUACGGCGUGUUCAACUACACAUCUUCUGUCAAUUUGCUCGGAAUAUUGCCUCUGUUCCGUUGACAGUGUCAGAACAUUGGAUUCAUGCAUUUGAUGUCCUCUUGGAUCCAGAUUGGAAUAAAAUUAAAUGUGUUCCUUUAAUUUGCAUAGUUUCCCGGUUGCUUUCUUUGCAAAUAGAAAAUGUGUUCCUUUAAUUUGGGUAGUUUUUUUGUAACCUAUCAUGCUUUUCUUUCUUUUCACUGAAAACAAAGUGCAUUCUUUUGUACCAAAAAUUCCAAGAGCACAUGAACUGUAGACUGUACACAUGUACUUCCUUUUUUAAUCUGCAGCCGCUUGCUUUCAAUGUUAUUUUUGGAAGGGUGUAGGCGAGUAUGUAACAAAGGUAACACUGAUCAGCAUGUGAUUUUUUCUUCUUGGUAAUUUGUUGUUCCUUUGAUCUUCUAUUUUGCAUUCCUCAUAGAAUCUAUGAUCUUACAAGGGCUAUCUCUAUGAGCUGAACAAUUGCAGCAGAAGACACACUCAAAUUCAGAGUUUAAAGCAUGAUGAGUAAUGUUGUGAGAGCUUGUUGAUGAUUUGCCUAUUUUUCACAAAAAUGGGACGUGUUGGAUGGUCUAUGUGAGGUUCUCUAAGAAAAAAUGUUCCUCACAUUUCUGUUCUGGUUGUACGAUGAAUUUUUUUCCUCAUUUUUUCUGUUCUUGAGAAUCAUGGAAACCUCAUCGAGGACUAAGUCAACUUUUUAUGCUUAACCAACUUCUUUUUCAUUACUUAUUCAGAACGGAAAGAAUGUGAUACUGUAUAGUGUUUAUCGAGACCAUGGUAGCCCAGUGGCAAAAGCAACCAUUUUAUAAAAAGGGGUGAUAUAUUACCUCGUGGUGUUGGGAACGUGACCACCAUGGGGCAAGCUCAAGGGCGAUGUAUCGCAUGGCCAUACAAGCAUUUGGAAGUGCACAAGUCCAUGGAAAAUGCAGGAAUGCGACCACAAGCUAGCUGAGGAGGUAAUAUACAUGUUUCUCCUGGCUGCUAAGUAUGUGUUGAAGGAAAUAUGCCCUAGAGACAAUAAUAAAGUUAUUAUUUAUUUCCUUAUA